AACUUUCGACAUCGGAUCACUUGGCUCUCGCAUCGAUGAAGAACGCAGCGAAAUGCGAUAAGUAAUGUGAAUUGCAGAAUUCAGUGAAUCAUCGAAUCUUUGAACGCACCUUGCACCCUUUGGCAUUCCGAAGGGUAUGCUCGUUUGAGUGUCAUUGUACUCUCACACUCCCGAUGCUUUUGGAUUGGGAGUGGUGGACUUGGGUGUUGCUGCUUUACUGUGGCUCACCUCAAAUGGAGUAGUGCAACUCUUGGUUGGACAUAGUACGGCGUGAUAAGUGUCUUCGCCGGCGCCUCAUUAGAGGGUGGCCGAUCGGGAGCUCUGUGCUUCAAACCGUCUUCGGACAACAUCUGACAACUUGACCUCAAAUCGAGUAGGACUACCCGCUGAACUUAAGCAUAUCAAUAAGCGGAGGCU
rnacentral:misc_RNA from 1 species